rnacentral:rRNA from 1 species
GGGACAACAUUUCGAAAGGAAUGCUAAUACCGCAUACGUCCUACGGGAGAAAGCAGGGGAUCUUCGGACCUUGCGCUAAUAGAUGAGCCUAAGUCGGAUUAGCUAGUUGGUGGGGUAAAGGCCUACCAAGGCGACGAUCUGUAGCGGGUCUGAGAGGAUGAUCCGCCACACUGGGACUGAGACACGGCCCAGACUCCUACGGGAGGCAGCAGUGGGGAAUAUUGGACAAUGGGCGCAAGCCUGAUCCAGCCAUGCCGCGUGUGUGAAGAAGGCCUUAUGGUUGUAAAGCACUUUAAGCGAGGAGGAGGCUACUUUAGUUAAUACCUAGAGAUAGUGGACGUUACUCGCAGAAUAAGCACCGGCUAACUCUGUGCCAGCAGCCGCGGUAAUACAGAGGGUGCAAGCGUUAAUCGGAUUUACUGGGCGUAAAGCGCGCGUAGGCGGCUAAUUAAGUCAAAUGUGAAAUCCCCGAGCUUAACUUGGGAAUUGCAUUCGAUACUGGUUAGCUAGAGUGUGGGAGAGGAUGGUAGAAUUCCAGGUGUAGCGGUGAAAUGCGUAGAGAUCUGGAGGAAUACCGAUGGCGAAGGCAGCCAUCUGGCCUAACACUGACGCUGAGGUGCGAAAGCAUGGGGAGCAAACAGGAUUAGAUACCCUGGUAGUCCAUGCCGUAAACGAUGUCUACUAGCCGUUGGGGCCUUUGAGGCUUUAGUGGCGCAGCUAACGCGAUAAGUAGACCGCCUGGGGAGUACGGUCGCAAGACUAAAACUCAAAUGAAUUGACGGGGGCCCGCACAAGCGGUGGAGCAUGUGGUUUAAUUCGAUGCAACGCGAAGAACCUUACCUGGCCUUGACAUAGUAAGAACUUUCCAGAGAUGGAUUGGUGCCUUCGGGAACUUACAUACAGGUGCUGCAUGGCUGUCGUCAGCUCGUGUCGUG